CAGGCCAUCAGCUUGUCUCUGCUCGCCCAAGCACAGGUGUUGGCUUCCUCCCAUCGUAUCAACCAUAUGUGGAGUCCUUGCUUAUCCCCUGCGCAUAGGAAGCCAGCUCCCUCACGUUGCCUCAUCCCUAGACGCGCUCGCCCAGAUCGAGCGUCGUCGCUCAGCUCGCCCAGCCCUCCCCAUCCUUCUCUAGCCAUGGUGCUGCUCCCAGUCUUCUGCUCGCCCCUGCCCUCAGCCUUGGCGUCUGGCCGCCACUGCCCCAGCUUUCCAUGGCGGCAUUUUCUGCUUCCUGGUGGCCGACGCCCUCCCUAAACUGAGCACCGCCGUCAACUGCGCCUUGGCGCUAAUCCUCCCCAACCUCUUCUUUGCCGGUGGUCGUCUCCAGCCCCUUCCAUGGCACCUAGUUUUAUUCCCAUGGCGAGCUCGCCCAAGCAAUCACCUCCAUCACAGCUCGCCGUGCCUGCGCAGCCCCGACAACGACUCCCUCUUCUGCGUCGCGCCAUUGACCCGCUCGAUGGAAUGCCGCAGCGAGCUCUACCCGAUCUGCAACGCCUGCGCGCCGUCGUCGAAAUCCCCGCAACCGUGUUGGUCCGCAACAACACGUCCUCGAUCUGCAAUCCCUAGCCUUGUGGUCGACCUUGCCCUCCGUCGAUGUCCUGCCUUGCGCAUCGCUUGCUCAACGAAAGCCUCACUCGUGAACGACAUGCGCGACUCAUCCGAUCCCGCCAGGUACGCUAGAUGAUUAUGCGAAUUGGAGGGCAUGGAUCAGGAUGGAUCACAAGGUGGCUUUGAUGGACCCAUCUCGAUAUGGACGACUUGAUCAAGUGUCAGGAUUGUUGAUGCUCGCCAAGCGGACUUCAUCUAACCACACUAACCUAGUGUAUCCCAGGUUGUAAUUUUGUUCUGUUGUGGAUGGUGCUAAGUGCCGGUAGGCUCGGCCUUCUUAUAUAAGUAUAUCCCAUCUUUAGCUUCCCUAUUGAGGAUUGUCACUUAAGCUAGCAUGUAUUUUAAAACUUAUAAAUGUUUUAUACAUUCAAAUUGUAAUCUUUUUGAAUCAAUUUCUUUUGUAAUCAACUCCGAUGAUAUAUAUUGUAAUCUUGUUAUAACUUGUAAAUGUUGUAACUUGUAAUCAUUUUGUAAUAAAGAAUUUAUUUCCGCUGC